UACGUAGGGUGCGAGCGUUAAUCGGAAUUACUGGGCGUAAAGCGUGCGCAGGCGGCGCGUUAAGACAGGUGUGAAAGCCCCGAGCUUAACUUGGGAAUUGCGCUUGUGACUGGCGUGCUGGAGUGUGGCAGAGGGAGGUGGAAUUCCACGUGUAGCAGUGAAAUGCGUAGAGAUGUGGAGGAACACCGAUGGCGAAGGCAGCCUCCUGGGCCAGCACUGACGCUCAUGCACGAAAGCGUGGGGAGCAAAAGGG
rnacentral:rRNA from 1 species